GGGGGAGAUACUGCUCUAAUUAGGAAAUAAGAUUUUGUCUUAGAUGACUUUUUUUAUUCCUCUUGAAACAAUUUUCAAACAUAGCUGGAACUACAACUGGCCAAGAAGGAGGAGAAGCUGCUGGAGAAGGAUUUCAUCUAUGAACAGGUCUCCAGGCUCACGGACAGGCUCUGCAGCAAAACUCAGGACUGCAAGCAGGACACACUGCUCUUAGCCAAGAAGAUGAAUGGCUAUCAAAGAAGGAUCAAAAAUGCAACUGAGAAAAUGAUGGCUCUUGUUGCUGAGCUGUCCAUGAAACAAGCCCUAACCAUUGAACUCCAAAAGGAAGUCAGGGAGAAAGAAGACUUCAUCUUCACUUGCAAUUCCAGGAUAGAAAAAGGUCUGCCACUCAAUAAGGAAAUUGAGAAAGAAUGGUUGAAAGUCCUUCGAGAUGAAGAAAUGCAUGCCUUGGCCAUCGCUGAAAAGUCUCAGGAGUUCUUGGAAGCAGAUAAUCGCCAGCUGCCCAAUGGUGUUUACACAACUGCAGAGCAGCGUCCGAAUGCCUACAUCCCAGAAGCAGAUGCCACUCUUCCUUUGCCAAAACCUUAUGGUGCUUUGGCUCCUUUUAAACCCAGUGAACCUGGAGCCAAUAUGAGGCACAUAAGGAAACCUGUUAUAAAGCCAGUUGAAAUCUGAAUAUGUGAACAAAUCCAGGCCUCUCAAGGAAAGGACUUCAACCAGGCUU
rnacentral:sRNA from 1 species